AACAAGUUUGGAACAAUCUGGGAACAACUUGUAAAAAGCUUGAUGGCAUUAUCAGACGUGUUACAAGAUUGUUCUAACAAGUCUAAUACAGUCAUGAUAUAACAAGUAUGUUGCAACUUGUAACAAUAUUGCUAUAUCAUGACUGUAUCGGAGUUGUUGGAACAACCUUGCAACAAGUCUGAUAAUAUUAACAAGGUUGUUACAAGUUGUUAGCAGCUUGUUCCAAACCUGUU